CAGGCCAGCAUCAGUUUGCCGCGGGGGAUAAAGGCUUCGGGAACGUGGCUCCCUCGGGAGUGUUAUAGCCCGUUGCACAAUACCCUGGGGCGGACUGAGGUUCGCGCAUCUGCUAGGAUGCUGGCGUAAUGGUCAUCAGCGA
rnacentral:rRNA from 1 species